rnacentral:rRNA from 1 species
UAGUCAUAUGCUUGUCUUAAAGACUAAGCCAUGCAUGUCUAAGUAUAAGUAUUAUACAGCGAAACUGCGAAUGGCUCAUUAAAACAGUUAUAGUUUAUUCGAUUAUUUUCAUCUACAUGGAUAACCGUAGUAAUUCUAGAGCUAAUACAUGCUGUCAAACCUGACUUUUGUGGAAGGGUUGUAUUUAUUAGAUAUAAAACCAAUACCGGCAACGGGAUUGUGAUGAUUCAUAAUAACUGAGCGGAUCGCGGCUAUGCCGCGACGAAUCGUUCAAGUUUCUGCCCUAUCAGCUUUCGAUGGUAGUGUAUUGGACUACCAUGGCGAUCACGGGUAACGGGGAAUUAGGGUUCGAUUCCGGAGAGGGAGCCUGAGAAAUGGCUACCACAUCUAAGGAAGGCAGCAGGCGCGUAAAUUACCCAAUCCUAAUUCAGGGAGGUAGUGACAAGAAAUAACAACUCGGACCUCACACGAGGUUGCGAGAUUGCAAUGAGAACAAUUUAAACCACUUAUCGAGUAACAAUU